ACAAAGGUGCGUGAGCUCGAAACUGAGGUGGAGGCCGAGCAGAGAAGAGGUGCAGACGCAGUCAAGGGAGUCCGGAAGUAUGAGCGCAGAGUCAAGGAACUCACUUACCAGACUGAGGAGGAUAAGAAGAACGUUGGCAGACUUCAGGACCUGGUAGAUAAGCUGCAGAUGAAAGUGAAGGCCUACAAGAGGCAUUCUGAGGAAGCAGAGGAAGCAGCAAACCAGCACAUGUCUAAGUUCAGGAAGGUUCAGCAUGAGCUGGAGGAGGCUGAGGAGCGUGCUGACAUCGCUGAGACUCAGGUCAACAAGCUCAGAGCCAAGACCCGUGACUCUGGAAAGGGAAAAGAAGUUGCUGAAUAAACAAGACCAAAGUAUUGAAGAUCAAAGUCUUACCAUUUUCCUGUGUUGCAUAAAAUAUGAUUUUCAUGGUGAAAUGUUGAGCAUUGAUUAAAAACAUGUGGAUCUACAUACACUUCCUUUGUGACUGUGGACUUAUUACUCAGCAAACAGCUUUUUAAUACCAUAAAAUAUUGUACUUCAAUUAAAGGAGCGAGCAAAUAGGUAACUUUUCUUGAG
ensembl:lncRNA